rnacentral:rRNA from 1 species
GUGAACGCUAAAAGUAUGCAUAACACAUGCAAGUUAAACGUAAAUCUAUUAUUGGAUUUUAUGUAGCAAACGGGUGCGUAAAGCAAAAGAACUCUGCCCUUUUAUUGUAAGUUAAUACUUUAAAAUAUGAAAAAUAUGGCUUUUCAUAUCCAAAAGAAUAAUAGAGCUUUGAAAAAGGAUGAGCUUUUGUAGGAUUAGGUUGUUGGUAAGGAUAAAAGCCGACCAAGCCUUCGAUCCUUAGCUGAAUUGAGAGAUUGCACAGCCACAUUGGAACUGAGACAAGGUCCAGGCUUCUUAUAGCCAGCAGUGAGGAAUACUGGGCAAUGAGCGAAAAGCUUGACCCGGCAAUAUUAUAAGGGGUGAAAUGAAGGCUUUUUUGGCUGUAAAAUCCUAUUAUUUAAGUAUAUCAUGACAAUCACUUAAAUAAAAUAAAGUCCCGGCUAAACUUCGU